GGGGACUUUAGCAAAGCUGAGUCACAAUCUGAAAAGACAGAGGUAAAACAUAUGAUAAAGCCAUACCUCAUUAAGCUCCCUUUCCAUGUCCACAUACUCAGAAUUUCCAGGCUCAUCUUUUAAAAGUUGUCUAACCUGAUCCACAUAUGAAGGAGAAAAGCAAUAAACAAGUUAAUUUUCAUAUCAGGGAAUGCUGAGAUUUAAUGAGGGAACAAACUAUGUUCAUGACAUUGAUACUGUAAGGGGCAAUAAUGGCAGUCAUAAACUAUCCUUUGAAAAGCAAUGAAAGUAAUAAUGUCUUUUUUCUUGACAGGAAUACAAGUGAUAAUUUUAGAUAGAUACAAAAACCACAUAGGGCAUAUUCAACAACAAGAAUAAAUAUUUUCUCAAUAGGCAGGGUCAACUGCAUAGAUAAAAUGAUGUCAUCAUAUCCUAUUGUAGACGAGCCAUUUUCUAGAACCCAAGAUUUUAACUAUAAUUUUCCUUGGUCUACCUCUACUUCAAGGUUCCAACUAUUGAGAAUUUGAGAUACCCUCCAUUGAAUAUACUAUUCUUUAUUGAGUCUGAGACUUUUACAAGUCCCAUUUGCAUAUAACCAAACAUAUAGAUAAAUUUAUGUAGCCUCAUAUUUGAAGUUGCGUAUCCAAGUGGAAACAAGCAGCAAUGAAAGGACCUUACCAUUCAUUAUUUUUUUUUUUAAGAAAACAAAUAAUAAUAAUGGAAUUUUGGAAGUUGAGUCAGAAA